rnacentral:rRNA from 1 species
UACAGAGGGGGCAAGCGUUGUUCGGAAUUACUGGGCGUAAAGGGCGCGUAGGCGGCCGGUUAAGUCGAACGUGAAAUCCCCGGGCUCAACCCGGGAACUGCGUCCGAUACUGGCAGGCUUGAAUCCGGGAGAGGGAUGCGGAAUUCCAGGUGUAGCGGUGAAAUGCGUAGAUAUCUGGAGGAACACCGGUGGCGAAGGCGGCAUCCUGGACCGGCAUUGACGCUGAGGCGCGAAAGCCAGGGGAGCAAACAGG